rnacentral:misc_RNA from 1 species
UCUUAGAAAAAUGUUCACACUGGACUAUGAACAUAUAUUUUCGUCACGAAAUCGAAAAUAUAUUUCAUGAAAUCGUGUACAAAUUUUUCACAAUUUUUGAAUAUAAGUCUUCGUAAAAAUUGCAAGUGAAGUUUUAUUUCACAUUUGAUGAAGUGUGAACAUAUAUUUCACACUAUAGGAGCGUUUUUGUAUGGGAUGGACGAAACACUUUGUCUAUGUUGGCGCAAUCUCUUCCCACCCUGCGCAAUCCCACCACGAAAAAUUAAAAAAAUGAAGGGCGUCUAUUUUUUUUCUUCUUUCUUCUUAUAUUUCUUUAUCUUUCUUUCUUUUCCUUAUGCUAUAUUCCCUUAGUUCCAUAUAGCCGCUGCCGUCAGUAAACCUUUGUAAUCAAAAGAGGCAAAGUCAAAUGUUAACAAAGAAAUAAACCCGCAAACAACCCUCAUAUUGCUACAGCGUUAGAAAAUCGCUUGAAAGCAAGAUGUUCAAAUUCGUUAUUUCAAAGGUAUGCAUCGCGAAGCUGUCAAAUGUUUGCACUACAUAUGAGUCAUAUAUUUCCCUACCUUAUUUGUAAAAAUUAUCUUCCCCUACCCGUCGGCAGUAUAGCUCCAAGACCUUGAAAACACCCCUUUGUCUACAUUGAAUUUCCCCCGAAUUUCAUUCCAGUAAAAUCUUGUCACACACAGUUGAGCUUCAUUCUUAUAGUUUUCAUUUCAAAAAUGGUCUUGUGUCGUGUUUCUUAUAUGAUGACUGGUAAAAAGAGUUUGUGCGAGUGUUCGUCUAUGGAUGACAUGCUCAGCUUCGUCGAAGUGUCUCGUCGAUAAAGUUCUGUUGAUUUUGGAGACGGCUGAUGGAUUUGAAGUUGAAGACGAACUCUCUUUCAGUGUCUAUGUGAGUAACACUGAGGAACCUUCUUUCUGGGUUAAAAAAAAUGUGAUAUAACAGAGCCGCAUCCAACACCAAGUGUCGAAAAUUCUCCGUCGGAUGGAGCCAAGGAGAAGGGCUUAUUUGACGACUUCAGAAAAAUAAUUGAAACGAAGGAAGGUCAGGCACCGAUGCUUUGCUCGACAAAUUAGACAAUCAGUCAGAGCUGGAUGACAAGGAUAUUAAGAAAAUGAAUACUGUUUUUGGUUCUUAUCUCUUCUUAAACUUAAACUAUGGAAGAGAGGUAAAUCCUGAUCCAGAGAUUUGUGACACGUUAGCUCGAGCAAUUGUAAGUCAGUUCACAAUGACAAAAACUGCUGUUGGCAAUGGCUGGGAGUCUUGGUUUGAUAUCGAGACGGGUAAAGGUCGUCUUGUGAAUUACGCUUCUCGUCAUUGGUUUCCCUACUACCUGCUUCACCGGGCAGAGGAAAAAAAGGACCGCGCCCUCAACGGGAAGAACUGGAGUUGCAACUUAUACAAUUUUUUCCGGAGGACACAAAUUUGAAUUCUGCCAUUGUAGCCGCUGCAUCCCGUGGGAUGAAACAACCAGGACUGAUUAUACUUGGAGUGGACCAAUUCUACCUUAAAUUAGAUGAGCAUGCAGUCAAAUUUGGAGUUGGUUGCGUGUCAGAGACCAUGGGAUAUGUUUUUGGGGCUUAUUUUGUGUUUAAUUGCUCAUAUCCGCCUCUGUGGCACAUGGUUUUUGGUUUUUUGGAAGAAGUUGUAAAUAUUCCUAAAGAACUUAGGAGCGUAAAAUCUUCAAUCACCAUUAGAAAUUUCGUGUUAAAACUUUCUAAAGUAUCUAAUUAGUUAGCAAUGUAUUAAGU